GUCCUUUUGGAGUUUAUUUAAGGUCUAGUCUGCCCACUGAAUUUAUAUUUUAAAUGGCCGCAGUAUUUUGACUGUGCAAAGGUAGCAUAAUCAUUAGUUUUUUAAUUAAAAGCUUGUAUGAAAGGCUGGACGAGGUAAAAUCUGUCUCUAUUUAAAUUAUAAUAGAAUUUAACUUUUAAGUUAAAAGGCUUAAAUAUUAUUAAAAGACGAGAAGACCCUAUAGAUCUUUAUAAUUUAUUAAUUAGGAUAAAUUUAGAAAUAUUUAUGUUUUAUUUAAUUAAUUUAUUUUAUUGGGGUAAUAAAAAGAUUGAAUUAAUUCUUUUUUAUAAUAAACAUUAAUUUAUGAAUAUUUAAUGAUCCAGUUUUACUGAUUAUAAGAUUAAGUUACCUUAGGGAUAACAGCGUAAUUUUUUUAGAGAGUUCAUAUCGAUAAAAAAGUUUGCGACCUCGAUGUUGGAUUAAAGAUUAUUUUAGGUGCAGAAGCUUAAUAAUUUUGGUCUGUUCGACCAUUAAAUCUUUAC
rnacentral:rRNA from 1 species